UACGGGGGGAGCAAACGUUGCUCGGAAUUAUUGGGCGUAAAGCGCGCGUAGGCGGUUACUUAAGUCGGAUGUGAAAGCCCUCGGCUUAACUGAGGAAGUGCACCCGAAACUGAGUAGCUAGAGUACGAAAGAGGGUCGCGGAAUUCCCGGUGUAGAGGUGAAAUUCGUAGAUAUCGGGAGGAACACCGGUGGCGAAGGCGGCGACCUGGGUCGAGACUGACGCUGAGGCGCGAAAGCGUGGGGAGCAAACAGG
rnacentral:rRNA from 1 species